GCAUAAGGUGCAAACCUGUUAUUGAACUUCUUUUUUGAAUAAAACUUUCGAGCUUUAUUACGAUUUUGAGACUGCAGCUCAUGAAGACUUGGAGGUUGAUACCCUCCAACAUUAUUUGGAGCACUUAGGGAAGCCGGUAAGGGUUUUCCCGUUCUCCUAUUGUUUAUCCUUUUGUCACUAACGCCUUUUCCCUUCCAAUUUCCUCGCCCCGAUCUCGACUGCUUCAUAUUUCCAUAGUUAGGCUUCGAGA
rnacentral:misc_RNA from 1 species